rnacentral:lncRNA from 1 species
AGGACAAACAAGGAGUAUUAGAUUGAAAGAUGUCUUGUAUAUACGCAAGAUUAAAAAAAACCUCCUUUUGGUGAAUAAAUUAAUUUCACAUAGUUGUAAGGAGUCAUUUAAUAAGAAUGGGUGCUUUAUAAAGAAAUUGGAUGAAGAUGAUGUUGCUAAGGGAUUUAGAAAUGGAAACCUUUAUUUCAUCAAGUGUGAGAUGGUAAAUAGAUUUGAAGUAGCCACAUUUACUAAGUUUUUAUUUAAUCAAGAUAAAUUUGGUAUUUGAUAUGAAUGCCUUUGUCGUUUGAAUGGCAAGAGCAUGAAGGAACUUCAAUCCAUGGUAAGUGGCAUGGAUCUUGGUCAAUUUAGCCACAAUCGUAAUAUACUUGCUUAUGAAGGUUGUGUUCAAGGCAAACAACAAAAGGCUUAAUUUACAUGUGGAGUAGCAACAUGUACUAGCAAGUUG